rnacentral:rRNA from 1 species
UACGUAGGGUGCAAGCGUUGUCCGGAAUUAUUGGGCGUAAAGAGCUCGUAGGCGGUUUGUCGCGUCGAAUGUGAAAACCCGGGGCUCAACUCCGGGCCUGCAUUCGAUACGGGCAGACUAGAGUUCGGUAGGGGAGACUGGAAUUCCUGGUGUAGCGGUGGAAUGCGCAGAUAUCAGGAGGAACACCGAUGGCGAAGGCAGCUCGCUGGGACGGUACUGACGCUGAGGCGCGAAAGCGUGGGGAGCGAACAGG